GACGAACGCUGGCGGCGUGCUUAACACAUGCAAGUCGAACGGGGUUACGAUUGAAACCUAAGUGAAAUAGUAACCUUAGUGGCGGACGGGUGAGUAACGCGUGGAUAACCUGCCUAUCUGACCGGGACAACACCUGGAAACGGGUGCUAAUACCGGAUACGCUCAUAGAUUCAGAAGAAUAGAUGAGGAAAGGGGAAACCCGCAGACAGAUGGGUCCGCGUCCCAUUAGCUAGUUGGAGGUGUAAGAGACCCCCAACGGCGACGAUGGGUAGCCGGCCUGAGAGGGUGAACGGCCACACUGGAACUGAGACACGGUCCAGACUCCUACGGGAGGCAGCAGUGGGGAAUCUUCCGCAAUGGGCGCAAGCCUGACGGAGCAACGCCGCGUGAGUGAAGAAGGCCUUCGGUUGUAAACUACUGUCAUCAGGGAAGAAGAAAGUAGACGGUACCUGAGGAGGAAGACCCCGGCGUAACUACGUGCCAGCAGCCGCGGUAAACGUACGUACGCGUCGCUAGACGGCGGCGGUCGA
rnacentral:rRNA from 1 species